AGGAAAGUGGGGAAGAAGAUGGACCGGAAGGAGGAGAGGGAGAGACAAACCAGACGCCAUUUCCUGACACCUGGCAAAUGGUGCCUGCAGCAGGGGCUUCGCUGGAACUCAGGAUAGGUAAACUGCUUUGGGAACUCUUGUUGAAAAGUGGUCUAGAAAUAUUCAUAGUACUAGUAGUUUCCACUGCCCACCAAGGUAGCAGCUUUCCUCCAGCAAAAGGAAGAAGAUGAGUCCAUUGCCCUGCCAUCAGGUAGAAAGAAGACUGAAGGCAGGAAGGAGUGCACAAAUGGCAGCUGACACCCACCACCAACAGGCCCAAGUAAAGACAGGGAAAGAAGUGGCAUCCAAAAACGGAUCGCUGGCAAGGUUAAAAGAGCACAAUAAAAUCUGUUAACUUAAGCAGCUGGCAGUGCAGCAAACAGCACUGCAGAGAUAACUUUAAUGAAGCAAAAUAAUAAUCAUGAUCAUCACAUAAUCAAGACUGGAGAAGAGGAGAACUACAGAGGGGCCUGCAUUGCGUAUCUGGCAAUUCUGUUUUGCUUCUUGUGUUAUUUUCUGCUGGUGACCACAAUAAAUACUCUUUCCUGAGUGCCAAUUAAUUCAAGUCACAAA